CGCCGCGUUUUCACUGUUGUAGGCUAACGUUACCAGAAAGAAUCCGUUUCUACGAUGUUUAUUUGUGUAAAUGAUGUGUGUGCGUUGAGCUCUGCACGAGCUGGGAGCAGAGUUGCCAUGGAAACGUCUCUCGCUGCUGUUUUCACUGCUUUCAGGAGGACAGAAAGAAACUCUACAGAACAGAUGGGAAGCGCCAAGAUUUCAACAUUUCUGAAGGAGCUGCUGACGGAGACAUAGAAAA